CAAUGACAUUGCAGUGGCUGCCCCCUACGGGGGUCCCAGUGGCCGGGGCCAAGUGCUGGUGUUCCUGGGUCAGAGUGAGGGGCUGAGGUCACGUCCCUCCCAGGUCCUGGACAGCCCCUUCCCCACAGGCUCUGCCUUUGGCUUCUCCCUUCGAGGUGCCGUAGACAUCGAUGACAACGGAUACCCAGACCUGAUCGUGGGAGCUUACGGGGCCAACCAGGUGGCUGUGUACAGAGCUCAGCCAGUGGUGAAGGCCUCUGUCCAGCUACUGGUGCAAGAUUCACUGAAUCCUGCUGUGAAGAGCUGUGUCCUACCUCAGACCAAGACACCCGUGAGCUGCUUCAACAUCCAGAUGUGUGUUGGAGCCACUGGGCACAACAUUCCUCAGAAGCUAUCCCUAAAUGCCGAGCUGCAGCUGGACCGGCAGAAGCCCCGCCAGGGCCGGCGGGUGCUGCUGCUGGGCUCUCAACAGGCAGGCACCACCCUGAACCUGGAUCUGGGCGGAAAGCACAGCCCCAUCUGCCACACCACCAUGGCCUUCCUUCGAGAUGAGGCAGACUUCCGGGACAAGCUGAGCCCCAUUGUGCUCAGCCUCAAUGUGUCCCUACCGCCCACGGAGGCUGGAAUGGCCCCUGCUGUCGUGCUGCAUGGAGACACCCAUGUGCAGGAGCAGACACGAAUCAUCCUGGACUGUGGGGAAGAUGACGUAUGUGUGCCCCAGCUUCAGCUCACUGCCAGCGUGACGGGCUCCCCGCUCCUAGUUGGGGCAGAUAAUGUCCUGGAGCUGCAGAUGGACGCAGCCAACGAGGGCGAGGGGGCCUAUGAAGCAGAGCUGGCCGUGCACCUGCCCCAGGGCGCCCACUACAUGCGGGCCCUAAGCAACGUCGAGGGCUUUGAGAGACUCAUCUGUAAUCAGAAGAAGGAGAAUGAGACCAGGGUGGUGCUGUGUGAGCUGGGCAACCCCAUGAAAAAGAACGCCCAGAUAGGAAUCGCGAUGUUGGUGAGCGUGGGGAAUCUGGAAGAGGCUGGGGAGUCUGUGUCCUUCCAGCUGCAGAUACGGAGCAAGAACAGCCAGAAUCCAAACAGCAAGAUUGUGCUGCUGGACGUGCCGGUCCGGGCAGAGGCCCAAGUGGAGCUGCGAGGGAACUCCUUUCCAGCCUCCCUGGUGGUGGCAGCAGAAGAAGGUGAGAGGGAGCAGAACAGCUUGGACAGCUGGGGACCCAAAGUGGAGCAUACCUAUGAGCUCCACAACAAUGGCCCUGGGACUGUGAAUGGUCUUCACCUCAGCAUCCACCUUCCGGGACAGUCCCAGCCCUCCGACCUGCUCUACAUCCUGGAUAUACAGCCCCAGGGGGGCCUUCAGUGCUUCCCACAGCCUCCUGUCAACCCUCUCAAGGUGGACUGGGGGCUGCCCACCCCCAGCCCCUCCCCCAUUCACCCGGCCCAUCACAAGCGGGAUCGCAGACAGAUCUUCCUGCCAGAGCCCGAGCAGCCCUCGAGGCUUCAGGAUCCAGUUCUCCUAGUGAGCAGGCUCUCUGGUCUCUGGCCCGGCCUCCCCGGGACCCACGGGGCAGAGGGGAUGGGAGGAGGGAGAGGGGUCCGGGUGUGCUGUGGGCCUCUGUGGGCCACGCUUGGUCCCUGGGAGCACUUCAAGUGAACAUGGAGGAGCAUGCUGGCUUGUGUCUGGGGUGAGCUGAAAGACACCUGCACUUUUUAAAAGCUUCCCAGUACGUUAAGGAGCAUAAAACAAUGCCAAAGCAAGGUUAUCAUAGAUCUGAGCAUUGCGCGCUGGGGGAUGACCCUCCCUGCAUCUCUGGGACUAUGUGAGCAAGCCCGUGGAAAGACAGCAUCCGAAGCUUGGAUCCAAGGCCCUUCCUGAUGGGAAGGCCACCGCUUCCUGAACCCCCGGCCCCUUCUGCGUUGGGUCCUGGGGGUAAGGGGGUGGGGGAUGAUGGGGUGAUGGGCCGGGACGGGCUGGGGACUGACGAUGCUUCCCCUCAGAGCUGCGACUCGGCGCCCUGUACUGUGGUGCAGUGUGACCUGCAGGAGAUGGCGCGCGGGCAGCGGGCCAUGGUCACGGUGCUGGCCUUCCUGUGGCUGCCCAGCCUCUACCAGGUGGGGUGGGCCGUGGUGGGGCGGGGCCGGGCCUUCUGGGCGGGGACCACUUUGCUCUGGGAGGGGCGGGGUUUGGUGUGGGAGGGCAGGAAGAGAGGGAAGGCAAGGUUUACUUUGGGGGAUUGCAGUGGGAUUAGGUCAGAGGCAGGGCUUCCCCGCCGGGGGUGUGGGACCUGGACUCCUGCAACCAAUAGGCCUCUUGUGGGUGUAAACGGCUUUCAACCCCAACCUGUCCAGAGGCCUCUGGAUCAGUUUGUGCUGCAGUCGCACGCAUGGUUCAACGUGUCCUCCCUCCCCUAUGCGGUGCCCCCGCUCAGCCUGCCCCGAGGGGAAGCUCAGGUGAGUGUGGGGGGAUGGAGCAGAGACCAGUCCUGCAGGACCCAUUGUCCCCCAGUCAGUGCCCAGCCAGAAAAGUCUGAGGGGUGGUAUGGGUGGGUGGCAUGGCUGGAGGUCACCAGCCUGAGGUUGGAGUCUUUGUGAAAGGCAGGUGUCAAGGUGACUGAGGAGACACGUGGGUUUGCCCCCAGGUGCGGACACAGCUGCUCCGGGCCUUGGAGGAGAGGGCCAUUCCAAUCUGGUGGGUGCUGGUGGGUGUGCUGGGUGGCCUGCUGCUGCUCACCAUCCUGGUCCUGGCCAUGUGGAAGGUGAGGUGUGAAGGACGGUGGAGUCCCCAGCGGGGCACAGGCUUGGCUCUGCCCUGCCUCACAGGGAGUCAAGGAGAGAUGGUGGCCCACCCAAGUGGGUAAUCCAGGGACCAGGGGUCUAUGUCUCCACUAUUAGAAUGUCAUUCUCAGUCCAGUGGGGUAGCUCACACCUGUAAUCCCAGCACUUUCGGAGGCCAAAGCGUUUAGAUCACCUGAGGUCAAGAGUUUGAGACCAGCCUGGCCAACAUGGUGAAACCCCAUCUCUACUAAAAAUACCAAAAUUAGCUGGGCGUGUUGACACAUGCCUGUAAUCUCAGCUACUCGGGAGGCUGAGGCAGUAGAAUUGCAUGAACCCAGGAGGCGGAGGUUGCAGUGAGCCGAGAUCACACCACUGCACUCCAGCUUGGGCAACAGAGCGAGCCUCCAUCUC
rnacentral:sRNA from 1 species